UACGUAGGUGACAAGCGUUAUCCGGAUUUAUUGGGCGUAAAGCGCACGCAGGCGGCUCUUCAAGUCUGACGUGAAAUCUCUCGGCUUAACCGGGAGCGGUCGUUGGAAACUGAAGGGCUUGAGGCGAUGAGAGGGGUGUGGAAUUCCCGGUGUAGUGGUGGAAUGCGUAGAUAUCGGGAGGAACAUCAGUGGCGAAAGCGGCACCCUGGCAUUAGCCUGACGCUCAUGUGCGAAAGCGUGGGGAGCGAACGAG
rnacentral:rRNA from 1 species